rnacentral:rRNA from 1 species
CACCUAACAGCUAGCCCCCCCCCCCCAAAACAAAAAAAAACUUUUAUAACCCCCUCAAACACUUUAACCAAAAAAAAAAAUCUUUUUUUCCCCUUAAAAUGGGGGAUAGAAAAGGGCCCCCCGGGACCUAUAUAAAAUACCCCCAGGGGAACCCUUUAAAAAAAAAGAACACCCCCCUUUUAGUGCAAAAAACCGAGAUUUAACCCCGCACCUUUUUCGUCUGGAUUUUGAUCGCAAAUUUUUGGAAAAAGGCCUUUAUGCUAACUCCCCGAAACUGAACGAGCUACUCCAAGACAGCCUUCAUAGGGCACAUCCGUCUCUGUGGCAAAAGAGUGGAAAGAGCUUCGAGUAGAGGUGACAAACCUACCGAGUCCAGUAAUAGCUGGUUGCCCGAGAACUGAGUCUAAGCUCAGCUUUUUGACUUCUUAACCCACCAACUAUAAAAACUAAACCGACCCUAAGAAGCCAAAAAAGUUAGUCAAAGGGGGUACAGCCCCUUUGACCAAAGAAACAACUUUUCCAGGAGAAUAAGGAUCAUACUCACCAAGGCCUCGUGUUUAGGUGGGCCUAAAAGCAGCCACCCUGUAGAAAGCGUUAAAGCUCAAACACACCCAUGCCACCAAUACCGACAACACAUCCCAACCCCUGACCUAUAUCGGGCCUCUCUAUGCCCCCAUAGAAGAGAUUAUGCUAAUAUGAGUAAUAAGGGGCCUAACGACCCCCUCCAAGCACAAGUGUACAUCGGAACGGACCCCCACCGAAACCCAACGGACCCAAUCAAAGAGGGCAGUGAAUAUCAAAUUAAACAACCAGAAAAACAUCCACCUCCAAACCGUUAACCCAACACUGGCGUGCCAAAUCGGAAAGACUUAAAGAAAAAGAAGGAACUCGGCAAACCCACAAAGCCUCGCCUGUUUACCAAAAACAUCGCCUCUUGCAAAAACAACGAAUAAGAGGUCCCGCCUGCCCUGUGACUAUAUGUUUAACGGCCGCGGUAUUUUGACCGUGCAAAGGUAGCGCAAUCACUUGUCCUUUAAAUGGGGACCUGUAUGAAUGGCACGACGAGGGCUUAACUGUCUCCUUUUCAAGUCAAGAAAUGACUCCCGCAAGGGAGAAAAAACACAUAAGACGAGAAGACCCUAUGGAGCUUUAGACAUAAAACAGCUCACGUCAACCACUCUCAAAUAAGAGACUAAACUAAAUGAACUCUGUUCAAAUGUCUUUGGUUGGGGCGACCGCGGGGUAACAAAAAACCCCCAUGUGGAACAAAAACACCCUUUUUAAAACCAAGAGCCACUGCUCUAAUAAACAGAACAUCUGACCAACCAGAUCCGGCCAAGCCGAUCAACGAACCGAGUUACCCUAGGGAUAACAGCGCAAUCCUCUUUUAGAGUCCAUAUCGACAAGAGGGUUUACGACCUCGAUGUUGGAUCAGGACAUCCUAAUGGUGCAGCCGCUAUUAAGGGUUCGUUUGUUCAACGAUUAAAGUCCUACGUGAUCUGAGUUCAGACCGGAGUAAUCCAGGUCAGUUUCUAUCUAUGAAGUGCCCUUUUCUAGUACGAAAGGACCGAAAAGGGAGAGCCUCUGCUAUAAGCACGCCCCCCUCUCACCUGUUGAACCCAACUAAAACAGACAAGAGAGCACACAAAAUAGUUAAAGAACAUAACAU